AUGAUAGCUUUAUUGUGUGGAGAUAAUAACACUAAACAUCCUCUACAAAGAUACAUCCUUUUUUUGUUUCCCCAGAGAGAUCUGCAGAUGUCUUUUAUAUCAUCUCUUGAACUGCCACAUGAAAAAGAAAAACUUCAAAAUUCGGGUCAUCCAGGGCAGUGGGAAUUAAAUAAAGAAUGUGAUCCUCACCUGUCAGUCCUACCUUUUGCUCCUGUAAACAAACUCCCAUUCCUGCAAGGCCACAUGAAUGUGAAGAAGUUGUGCUGAAGACUGAAUUGACCUGGGUUUUUUACAAAGACCUUCCUUCUAUCCACCAGUUCAGACUUGUAGCUGCUUUGCUAUUCUUCCAGCCCAGUGUUAUACCGACAUACGUAGAACUGUUUGUCUGUAAAUUAGCCUUGUGAUUUCAGCCAAAUAAAGUCUGCCUACAGGUGUAACA
rnacentral:lncRNA from 1 species